rnacentral:rRNA from 1 species
UACGUAGGGGGCAAGCGUUGUCCGGAAUCAUUGGGCGUAAAGAGCGUGUAGGCGGCCCGAUAAGUCCGCUGUGAAAGUCCAGGGCUCAACCCUGGAAUGCCGGUGGAUACUGUCGGGCUCGAAUCCGGAAGAGGUGAGUGGAAUUCCUGGUGUAGCGGUGAAAUGCGCAGAUAUCAGGAGGAACACCAAUGGCGAAGGCAGCUCACUGGGACGGUAUUGACGCUGAGGCGCGAAAGCGUGGGGAGCGAACAGG